CCAAUAGCGUAUAUUAAAGUUGUUGCAGUUAAAAAGCUCGUAGUUGAAUUUCGGGAUUAGUACGUUGGUCGUGCCUUGGUACGUACUGGUGUAACUGAUUCCUCCCUUCUGACGAACCGUUAUGCCAUUAAUUUGGUGUGGCGGGAAAUCAGGACUGUUACUUUGAAAAAAUUAGAGUGUUUAAAGCAGGCUCGCGCUUGAAUACAUUAGCAUGGAAUAAUGAAAUAGGACGUUAAUCCUAUUUUGUUGGUUUCUAGGAUCGACGUAAUGAUUAAUAGGGAUAGUUGGGGGCAUUAGUAUUCAAUUGUCAGAGGUGAAAUUCUUGGAUUUAUUGAAGACUAACUACUGCGAAAGCAUUUGCCAAGGAUGUUUUCAUUAAUCAAGAACGAAAGUUAGGGGAUCGAAGACGAUCAGAUACCGUCGUAGUCUUAACCAUAAACUAUGCCGACUAGGAAUCAGACGAUGUUAAUUUUUUAAUGACUCGUUUGGCACCUUACG
rnacentral:misc_RNA from 1 species